UUUCCUUCGGGACUGAUUAUUUUGUGACUGAGUGGCGGACGGGUGAGUAACGCGUGGGUAACCUGCCUUGUACAGGGGGAUAACAGUUGGAAACGGCUGCUAAUACCGCAUAAGCGCACAGCAUCGCACGAUGCAGUGUGGAAAACUCCGGUGGUAUAAGAUGGACCCGCGUUGGAUUAGCUAGUUGGUGAGGUAACGGCCCACCAAGGCGGCGAUCCAUAGCCGACCUGAGAGGGUGACCGGCCACAUUGGGACUGAGAGACGGUCCAGACUCC
rnacentral:rRNA from 1 species